CCCCCUGUGAAAAGAGAUGUUGUUUCAAGUCUCAGCUGUGUGUGUAAACGUAUACAGCCGCUGCAUACAUGCACUGCAUAUAAUUCAACGACGAUUACCGCUAGAUUUUCAGAUGCGGAUUCUCCUGUUGAUCCCGGCUGGUAAACCCUAUGUAAAACAUGUAAUUUACCGAUUUUUCAAUAUUUCCUGAAGGACCAAGAAGGAGAAUUUGUACCAGUAAAGAUAAACACCAAGUAAAUCAUCUGUGAGACUUCUAGAGGAAAAUAAUCAUGGUAAAGUAGACAACUUUGUAGGAAUACAUCGCAUAUUUCACGAAAUGUUUUGCGUGUUUAGUCAAUGGGCGCUGGGCUGGGCCGGGAGAGUGCAGAGUGCAUGCCACUGGCACUGCCAGUGGUGUUGACUGAGCUGAAGUGAUGUGAUCACUAUUGCAAUAAUAAAAUUGUUAACGUACUAAUAGAUCAUCUAUGCCGUGAGCUGAGUGAGUGUUCAAAUCAACAAAUGAGAAUUCUAGCCUAACUAACAUUUAGGUCGAGAUUGCUAAUCAUUGUCUGAUAUGCUCCAAUUUUUAUUCUUAUCAUUUGCAUGAAUCUUGUCUAGACUAGUAACUUGCUAAUUGAUCGAUAUCAUCAAGCAUGUCCAUUGAAAACAAAAAAACAAGGGCAUGAAUGAAGGGCAAGUGAAGUGAACUUUGAAGUAAGUAAGUGUCAGCCGCUAGAGUGAGAGCAGAGGGUUGGUUGUUGGUGUUGGAGAUGGGUUGGCGCUCUUCAAUCUAGUAUCUACAAGAGUAAUGUUGUAACCGAUUUUUAUUGCAAUUCCUGAUCCGAUCUGAUUUUUCCCUUUUUUCUACAUUUUUCCGAACUCAGAUUUUUGACGAGUGGGAAAAAAAAUCAGAUCAGGACAACCAAAAUAUAACAAGACAAAAAACGUGUGGCCACAUGCAUUGCGGCGGAGCGCUAUUCCUGUUAAUGAACAAGCUCCGAGCGAAGUCCUCAUGUUGGUCGUCAAAAUGCGCUGAUGAUUUGUUUUGAUCUCUGAUAAACGCGGUGGAAGGAAAAGAAGAUAAAGGAGAAGAAAAUUAUGAUUUGUUUUGAUCUCCGAUAUAAGAGGAGGAGGAGAUGAUGAUUUGUUUUCAUCUCCGAUGUAAGCGGAGGAAGAAGAUGAUGAUUUGUUUUUAUCUCCGACAUAAUCAGACGAAGAAGAAGAAGAUGAUGAUUUGUUUUGAACUUAAGCGGAGGCAAAUAAAAUUUAGUUGAACACGCUGACAUGCGCGAUAAUGUAUUAGACGUGUUUUAAGGAGCUAGCAAUUUAGAGUUAUUAGUAGCAAUGAUCUCUUGCUCUCCUAGAAGUAGAAGAAAUAUAAAAGACACAUCUUCCUGAGGCCUGACUCUAUCGCAAAUGCAAAUAAAAUUGAACACAAGUCUCCAACAGAAUAAUGACCGAUUGGUGGAACAUGUUUUUAAAAAUAUUCUGAAUUUAGGUGUUGAAUUUAGGCGAUUUAAAAUAGAUUCCUUAGGAAUGAGCUCUAGCUGCGACAAGUUUACGACUACCUUCGCAAUCACCAUGAUGUUGUAGAGAAGGUGAAUAUAAUCGUAAACAACUUCGGAUAGUAGUGCGUCUAUUUUGGUAGGUCAUGCGUUCUCUAAGAGUUUACAACUGCCUCUGCAAUCACCAUGAUGUAGUAGAGAAGGUGAAUAUCAUCGGAAACAACUUCAGAUUGUAGUGCGUCUAUUUCCGGAAGUAAUGCGACCUCUAAGAGUUUACGAUUACCUCCUAAAUCAUAACCAUGUUGUAGAGAAGAGGACUAUCGCUGAUCGGCGGUAGUGUCGCGCACUGCAUCAUCAUUAUCUUCUUCUCCUUCCUCCAAUUAUGUCGAAGAUCAAAACAAAUCAUCAUCUUCCUCCUCAGCUUUUGUCGGAGAUCAAAACAAAUUCUGUCCUCAUUGUAGCUUGCAGCAUUUGUCUGUGUGCCGGCCACCCACAAAUUUUAAUGUAUUUUUUUGUUUUUGAAUAUCUGCCUAUCCGAUAUCUAAACCGAUUUCGAAUUUAGGAGCAAAACUUCCAAUGUGAACUCCGAUCCCUUAAUUGCUCUAACUUACAACAUUAGAGCAGAGCCAGAAAGAAUGGCAUAAAAAGUGGAACGACAACAAUGUCAUCACUUUCAGAAAAGAAAAGUGAACUUGUACUUGUAGAUUCCCUUACUUCAAGUUCAAGGUGCGAAGAUCGGCGGAAAACUGCAGUUGGUUGAAAAUGUGAAGCUUCUGAGCAGCCUUUCCAGUCGAUGUUGCCGAACAAAUGAACAAGGUGAAUUUCAAAAUAUAUAUUUCAAGCAUAGAGUAUAGACACUAAUGGGGUGUUGCAAGAAAGUUACGUUGCAAUUGAUUGCAAAUCGACUGCAACUUUGCAGCCGAUUCCGAUCGACUGCAACUAGCAAUCAAUCGCCAAUUUGCGUUGCAAGAAAAAGGCUUGCGAUUGAACGCAAGUUGCAGCUGAUCUGCAGACGAUUUGCAGCUGUAAACAGGGUCUGCAUCACAAGACUAGCCGAAAAAGAAAAAUAAUGGCUUGCAACAAUCCUGUUUGUGGAAGAGAUUAUGACAAAGAAGUCUGGAACCUCAGAACCACCAUAACUGUGUCUGCUACAAUGUGUGUUCUUGCAACCAGCUGAUUGAUUCAUUUGAUCAACUCUUGAAUGGUUGAUUAUCAGAACUGAAUUCAGAGCUGCUCCUGUCUGUAGUAACUUCAUUAUAAGAGUGGACUUCAGAAAUGAGGGCGUUGCUUGUUUAAAAACUUCACUCCAUGGAGCUCUCCAAAUUCAUCUCAAAUUAGACUGCUUCUGGAAACCAGAUUUGUUCCUUAGGGCAGAGACGCUUGUGGCUUUUCUGACUGGACUUCUAUGGAUUCUUCAUGCCAACCUUAAGGACUGUGGUCUUCUGCAUGAUACACAUCAAUUUCAAACAAGACAUUCUGUGGUGAAACACUUGACGUAGAUGAUAUGAAAUUUUAUUUCAUAUAACUGAAUCUCAGAAGUAAUUCCUCGGGAGCAAGAAACAUUGAAAAAUGAAAAUAAAGGUCCAUCAAUAAUGAAUGUCUUGAGCAGUGUUCUUUUUUGUGCACAGAUCAAUGGAUCUUUUCAAGUCCAAGCAGGGAUGUAGUCAUUGCUGACCUCGAGGCAACAUUUUGCUGGCCUUGGUCCGAGUCACUACAGAAUCAAUGGGAAGUUCUCUCAAGCUGCCUCAUGACUCGGAAGAAUCAGCCUCGACCUCAUCCCUGUAUGCAAGUGUGAUAUAUAUCUACGAUGCAAUCUCAUGAUUAAAGAGAGAGAAACAAGAGAGCUUCAGAUUUUGAAGUGUAGCAAUCUCCUGAAAUGUAUGUUUUAUUUGAAAAUCAAACUAAAAUAACUUAAUUGGGCAUGUUAUUCAUUAUGAUAUAUAUGAAUGAAAGCAUUUAAGCAAUUUAGUGCUCUUGCAAAACAUAUUCUGAGUUGUAUUUACUGCAAACGCUCAGAAAUAUUGAUAAGCAUUUGCCAGUGCAUGAAGUGUUUUAAUAAAGAGUGGCUUUUGUGCCUAUGGAGAGUUAUUAUUUCUUCAACAUUUCUUCAUACAAAUUAUUUCAGAAAUCACAAUUUGAAUAUUCCAUGACCUCUGAUAACAAGAACAGAAUAUUUUUGGUGAUUGACACACUUUAAAAUGAUAUUAGGAGAGAAUGUACUGAAAUUGUAUGAAAAUAAUGGCAUAAUUGCUGAAGAGGCCUAUAAAGAUUGAAAAUAACAUCAUUUCAAGUUUUUCUUGAAAAAACCCCAUGGAAAAUUGAAAAUGGCAUAAUUUACACAAGUUUUCAAAACAAAAUACCAAAAAAAAAAUUUGCAGAAUUUUUUGUACACAAGCCUAUGGACAAUCAAUUGAACGUAAAUCGAACGCAAAUUUUGCGCAUCCUCCAAAAUCUUACAUAAGUUACGUUCGAUUUGCAAUCAAUUGCAAGGCUUGCGCUUGAUCUACGUUCAAUUGAUCAAACGCAACUUCUUCUUGCAACAGGAUUGAACGUAACUUGCGUUCAAUUGCAGAUUUGCGUUUAAUCGGAGGACUUACGCUCAAUUUUGGGAGUUGCGUUCGAUUUGCGUUCAAUCGCAAGUUUCUUGCAACACCCCAUAAGACAGCUCAGAAAGGAGGAGGAAGAAGAUGGUAAUGACUAAGAGGGGAAGAAGAUGUAGGUUGAAAAGAUCAGAGGGUCAUCAUAGGUUUGCUAUGAUAUGGUCAGGAAGAUCAAGGUUUUCAGCGAAACAAAUAAGAUUGAGGCAAUGUUCUAAAAGGCAAGGAGAUGAAGAGUCUUCAUCCUCAAGAACACAUAGCUUGCAUCUGGGAUCUGUGCUUUUGCUGAGUGAUGGUAACCAAACGUUGCUGAGUGUGAUAGGUAGAUGUGAGCAGUUGGGCUCGGAGAAUUACUGCAGCACGAAGGUGUGGGGGAAGUGAAGACGGGUAAAAGAGAUAAUUUGUCUUGGGAAGCUUUACAAGGUUUCUCCAGAGGAAGAAGGAAGACAUUUGGUUGAUGCAGGGUGCUACAUAAGCACUUGCCCGGGGCAAGUAAUUAAUAGAGUCGGGCAAGUGGUUUGAAAUAAAGACCAAAACUACUUGCUCGAAUUGGGCAAGCAAAAUUCUCACAGUAGAAUGACCAAAAUUAGGGUCGAUACAAUAUGAUAGGAUAUUGACUCUAAUUUUGGUCAUGGCAAGCAAGAUAAAAUCACUUUGGAAAAAGAAAUGCAAUAACAACGUAGAUCAGUCAAAAGAGAGAAAAGGUCAAUGGUUUAUAAAAUCGCAAAACUUUCUUUUGAAGAGGUAAACUUUUUUUUUAAAGGAUUUUUUCAGGCAAGUGAAAUAGAUUUUUGGGCAAGUAUAUUCCAACUGUUUAAAAAUUUACUUGCCCGACUGGGCAAGUGGUUCUAAAAAGCUAUGUAGCACCCUGGGUUGAUGCAAUUCCGUGCCUCAAUCUGAGCAUCCAGAAUAGCUCUAUUGCAGGUAGAUUUCCAGCUAGAUUAUGUAAAUGGCUCAGAGAUGAGACAAAAAGGCAGGUUGUAUUUAGAGAGCAGCUUGGUCUAGUACAUGACAGUGAGAGUUUGGACAGAGACAGCAUGGAGAAGUGUGCGGAACUCAAAUCUGGAAUGAUCUUAGAUAUUGAGAAGUUGGCCAAUGAGGAGAAGUGUGUUGAGUUCAAUCUCUCUUGAGAGAUGAAGGAGAUCAGUUAGGUGAAAAACUGCUAUAUUAGGGGCACUUUUGGGAAGACCAAGAAGCUUCUUGAAGAGAGUGUGCUGGGCAGAAUCAAGUUUUUUUGAGGGAUGAUGCAGAGAAGCUCAGCAGUUGCAUGCCAUAAGCAUGCGAGGAAGACAGAAGGAUUUCCAGAGUUUGGUUAUGGCACUGGUACAUAGCUUACAGAGUGGACUGGACAGAGAAAUUGAUAGGAGCUUCUUAGAGUUUGGAGAACUGCUUCGCAGCCACAAAUCGUAAUCGUAUAAUCUUUGCCACAUCAGCUGUAUCGCUUGUGUUCAGCAUAACAGCAAAGACAAUAACUGCAGCCUCUGCCUAGGUUAUAGGCUAGUAUGCAUACAGAAGAGAGCGGUUUGAGGAUGCUUUCCAGAAGUUUAGAGACACAGAUGCCACAAUAGUUGAAUGGAUCGUAAAUGGGUUUCCCUAUCCUUUGUGGAGUGAAUUAUGAGGGCAUCUUUUAAGAAGGCGGAAAAAUGGCUGAUAUUGACACAGGAUUGCAAGAAAAGCAGGAGGAGUCUGCGAGUGAUUGGGAUUCUGAGAUUUUCAGUGGAGAUGUUGUCUAUGCCAGGAGCUUUCUCGGGUUUCAGUUGAUCUAUUGCAUCAUCAAUGUCUUCUCGGGUAGGUUAUCAUGAGGGAGAGCUCAGGAGUGAGGGUAUGCCAGGAGAAUAGUCAGAAGAGGACUAAGGAGGUGUAGAACACGAAGGCUGGCAAGGGUCAGGCUGAAGCUCAGGAUGGUUGGGUGAAAGAUAAGACAACAUGGUAAAGUACUUGUGCCAGCCUUGGAUGAUCUGAUCACCAGAGUAGCAUAUCUUGUUGUAUUGAAGGUAGGCAAGUUCUUGAGAAGAGGACUUGUUGGACUUCUGGAUCCUGAUCAGCUUGUAAAAGAUGGAAGCAUUGCGAGAGUGGGCCUGUUCAAUGUCCCAUGUUACUUUCAUGUUGGAAGCAGCCGUGGAUUGCCUCAACACUUGAUGGAACUCUUUUUUAGAUACAAGAUACUGAGAUCUGAGGCUGUUGUCCUUUCCUUGAGGUUUUUCCAGCAGAUUUCCAUGCUCUCCAGGUAAACAACAAGGAGCGAUAUGCUUUGUUCACUUUAUCAGACCAUUCCCAUUUACCCCUUUUCUUAAUGGAUAGAGAUUUGUUGGGCGAUUGUAGUGAGAGAAAAAGCAUGUUUUCUAUGAAGAUGGUAAAGAUUGAAUCGAUGUCUUGGGGAAAGAGCUGAAGGGAAUCUAGCUUUGAGAAGAUAUGAGAGCAUACAUCAUCAAGGGGAGAUGUGUACAGUUCAUGAGUGACAGCUGGGUCAGAAGUCUAGAGGACGUUGAAGUUGGCCACGGCUUUGCCUUUUAACUUGAACUGGCGUUUGUGAGUGACUGAUUGGCGACCAGUAAUGUAUUCGAACGUGCAUAAUUAUGCACCAGAAAAUCAUUCUGUUAUUGUAGAGGCUAUGCUAAGAAAAUAACAAACAUGAAUUUUCUGCCUCCGUUCAGUACAAUCGUAAUCUCCUACUACUAGACCAAGAUCUACACAAAAACAGAAGCUAGUGUAGAACUAAUGUUAAAUUAGAAGACUAUAGCCUCUGAUUGGUUCAUGAGUCUACAGUUUUAUUGCGAUGAGAACCACUUCAAGUAAGCUGGCUAGUAGUAGAUCUAGCUGAAUAUGCUUAAAUUUCUGUCUUCGUUAAGGAGUGAUAUCGCAAUUGAAAUGAACAGAAUGGGGACAGAAAAUCUUGGUUUAUGCUCAGAGCUACAAUGCAAGCUUGCAACAUUGUAACAUAAAGAGAAUUUCAAAAGUAACCCCCUAGAAUUUUUUGUACCGUAAACUAUUUUGUUUUUACCAAAUAAAAAAAAAUAAAAAAAAGAAUUGUAAAAAUAGCUGAUUGGUGAUUUUGUAAAUUAUCAAAAUUUUGAAACAACCAAAAUAUUUCACAUGAAAUGACAAAGAGGGGUGCUAUUCAAGAGC